rnacentral:lncRNA from 1 species
GCAUUGUCUUCGCAGUGUGUAGCAGGUUAUUUGAUAAAAAAUACAACUUUUUAUCACUUCGUGCAUUUCCGCAAGUUCCGGUGCUUGUUACUCGAAAACGUACAUCAACCUAAAUUUCGGCGGCAAAAUAAGUUUGUUACUUCAUUUAAACGUGAUAAAAGUUGCCUCCAGUAAAUGUUUAAUCCAUUUAUUGAAUUAAAAACGUCAUGUUCCUUUCCAAAUAACUUGUCAAACAUCGUUUAUUUUUGUAAAUUUUCUUGCAUUCGUCCGCCAUUGACCGAUUUCUAAACUACGGAU